CAGUAGGGAAUCUUCCGCAAUGGGCGAAAGCCUGACGGAGCAACGCCGCGUGAGUGAUGAAGGUCUUCGGAUCGUAAAACUCUGUUAUUAGGGAAGAACAUAUGUGUAAGUAACUGUGCACAUCUUGACGGUACCUAAUCAGAAAGCCACGGCUAACUACGGGCCAGCAGCCGCGGUAAUACGUAGGUGGCAAGCGUUAUCCGGAAUUAUUGGGCGUAAAGCGCGCGUAGGCGGUUUUUUAAGUCUGAUGUGAAAGCCCACGGCUCAACCGUGGAGGGUCAUUGGAAACUGGAAAACUUGAGUGCAGAAGAGGAAAGUGGAAUUCCAUGUGUAGCAGUGAAAUGCGCAGAGAUAUGGAGGAACACCAGUGGCGAAGGCGACUUUCUGGUCUGUAACUGACGCUGAUGUGCGAAAG
rnacentral:rRNA from 1 species